UUGAGAAAAAACACGUUGACAAUAUGAUGUAAUCGGUUUGAUUGUACAGAUUUUCGAUAAUGAAGAAAUUUUAUAAAGUUUUGAGAAGAAGGAUUCUGUGAGAUUAUUUCGAUACAAUGAUUAUUAUCGAUUGAUCGAAGUUUUAGAAUCGAACGAUUCGAUAGAGAAUCGAAUAAGAGGAUUUGGCAAAGUUUUUUAGUCGCAUUCUUUUCGAGUAAGAAUGAAGAUGGAAGAUGGUGGUGAGGCAAGGUUGGGAUUUGGAGGUGUGCACGGUUGGUGAGGAAUUUUUGGGGAGUGGUUAUAGGUGUGGUGAAUAGGUUUCAGCGAGAAGUGUUGUUUAGAUGAGCAGAAUUUUUAGAUGUGAUUACUUGUCGUAAUUGAUAAAGGCAUUCAUAUUGGAAGCUUGACAGGAAUCGUAACAGAUUUUCUACACUUAAUAUCUACAUAAAUAGAACAAAUAUAGAACAUGUGUCAAGCUGAUAUAACGCAAAACAGUUUCACGAAAGCCAAACGAACUUCUUCCACUUAAGAUAAAUGAAAAUAAAUGAAAAGAUAUACAUGUUUGAAAAUCUACAAACAAAUCUA